rnacentral:sRNA from 1 species
AAUCUGCUGCGGACAAAUGAAGUGAAUGUGCGCGUCUAUGCCGCCGGGAGUCACGAUCUGACCUUCACCCGCAAUCACUUCGGUGCCCGGCCCCACUUCAAUGGAGACCCCCUCUUGAGUGUCUGGGUUGCCGGCUUUGCCAAUUGCUUGAAUGCGUCCGCCUUUGAUGGCGAUGUCAGCCUUGACCACGCCCCAGUAAUCAAGAAUCAACGCAUUAGUGAUCACCGUGUCGGCAAUCUCUGCGCUCAUCGCUUGGCUCUGUCCCAUGCCAUCGCG